GUGCUUACUUUGGCAUCACAUAUGCUAGAACUGGAAUGGUACAUAGAUUAGCAUAGUGCCUGCCCAAGGAUGACACACACAUUUGUAAAUCAUUCAAUAUAGUU
rnacentral:snRNA from 1 species